UACGAAGGGGGCUAGCGUUGCUCGGAAUUACUGGGCGUAAAGGGUGCGUAGGCGGCUCUUUUAGUCAGGGGUGAAAUCCUGGAGCUCAACUCCAGAACUGCCUUUGAUACUGAGGAUCUUGAGUUCGGGAGAGGUGAGUGGAACUGCGAGUGUAGAGGUGAAAUUCGUAGAUAUUCGCAAGAACACCAGUGGCGAAGGCGGCUCACUGGCCCGAUACUGACGCUGAGGCGCGAAAGCGUGGGGAGCAAACAGG
rnacentral:rRNA from 1 species